CAAUAAGCGGAGGAAAAGAAACCAACAGGGAUUGCCCCAGUAACGGCGAGUGAAGCGGCAACAGCUCAAAUUUGAAAUCUGGCCCCCCGGGUCCGAGUUGUAAUUUGCAGAGGAUGCUCUUGGCGAGGCACCGUCCGAGUUCCCUGGAACGGGACGCCAUAGAGGGUGAGAGCCCCGUAUGGACGACUGCCGAGCCGCUGUAGAGCUCCUUCGACGAGUCGAGUAGUUUGGGAAUGCUGCUCUAAACGGGAGGUAAAUCUCUUCUAAAGCUAAAUACUGGCCACAGACCGAUAGCGCACAAGUAGAGUGAUCGAAAGAUGAAAAGCACUUUGAAAAGAGAGUUAAACAGCACGUGAAAUUGUUGAAAGGGAAGCGCUCAUGACCAGACUUGCGCCUGGCGGAUCAUCCGGCGUUCUCGCCGGUGCACUCCGCCUGGCACAGGCCAGCAUCGGUUCGCUGUCGGGGAGAAAGGCGGGGGGAAUGUGGCUCUUCGGAGUGUUAUAGCCCCCCGUGUAAUACCCUUCGGCGGACCGAGGUUCGCGCAUCUGCAAGGAUGCUGGCGUAAUGG
rnacentral:rRNA from 1 species